AUUGAACGCUGGCGGCAGGCCUAACACAUGCAAGUCGAGCGAGCGGCGGACGGGUGAGUAAUGUCUGGGGACUGCCCGUUAGGGGGGGAUAACUACUCGAAACGGUAGCUAAUACCGCAUACUAUCGGAUAACCCAUAUGGGAUUAACGCGUAGGUGCGGUAAUGGCUCACAUCGGCGACGAUCCCUAGCUGGUCUGAGAGGAUGAUCAGCCACACGGGGAAUGAGACACGGCCCAGGCGCCUACGGAGGCAGCAGUGGGGAAUAUUGCACAAUGGGCGAAAGCCUGAUGCAGCCAUGCCGGGUGUAUGAAGAAGGCCCUGGGGUUGUAAAGUACGUUCAGUCGGGAGGCGUUACCGACAGAAGAAGCACCGGCUAACUACGUGCCAGCAGCCGCGGUAAUAC
rnacentral:rRNA from 1 species